UGGUGGUUUACAGUUUUUGGGCAAUUAUGGAAGUGACUGAUUUUCAGUUUGUCCAGCUUUUUCUUCUAAGAAUGAGAGUGAUGACUUCCCAGCUAUUUCCAGAAACCGGAAGUGAGAACUUUUACUUUUUACUCUUCACAAUUCUGCAUAAUAUUUUUCUACAUCUUCUCCUGAGGUCCAUCAGACCGUGUUAAUGAUAUUGUAAGACCCGGGAUUCAUGUUGAUUGACAUUAUGGAGACUCGUAUUCAUGUAUUAGAGCUGGCUGCAUUACAUCAGACUGAAAAUGGAUCCUGUCAUGUGAUGGAGAAAGAAUGCUGCCAGACAAUUCAGUGGUAUGGUUUCAGAUUAUUGAGUGUG